rnacentral:rRNA from 1 species
UACGUAGGUGGCAAGCGUUGUCCGGAUUUACUGGGCGUAAAGAGCGCGCAGGCGGUCGUUCAAGUCGCGUGUGAAAGCCCCCGGCUCAACUGGGGAGGGUCACGCGAUACUGAUCGACUGGAAGGCAGGAGAGGGUAGUGGAAUUCCCGGUGUAGUGGUGAAAUGCGUAGAUAUCGGGAGGAACACCAGUGGCGAAGGCGGCACUCUGGGCCGGUACUGACGCUGAGGAGCGAAAGCGUGGGGAGCGAACAGG